ACUAGGAGUUGAGCAUCGGCAAAUUAUCUGCUAUUCAAGUAAUUUCAGUUGCAUCUAAAUUUUAUUUUAAUUAUGCAAUGAAUAUGGUGACAAAUUUGAUUUGGCGUGUUUGGUGUAUUCGGUGUAACCUCGUCAGAGUUUAAACUCGGGAUUCAUCGACGUAUUUAACCCAUCGAGUAUAAUAUACGAUUUGUGAGUUGCAUACUAAUACAAUUAACUGGGAAAUUUAAUUAAUAUAUUGUUUUGCAUUGAUUGGAUUCUCGGAAAUGUUUCCACAAUAAUAUUAUUUUCCAAUCACAUUUUCGAGGACAUGUAUAAAUAUACUUUAUUAAAUUCAAAUAAUAAAUCGUGAACGACAGAGCACGUGUCUAUCAUGUAAUAUUGAUACGCAGGAGUUUGGUUUCGCAGUCAACCGUGAAGCGUGAGAAAAAUAAACAAGUAACAGCCUACAUACAAUACUACAACAAUUAUGUGGGUAAAGUGCGUGGCGUUACGACUUAACUCUGCACACCAAUGCAAUAAUAUAAUGUCUCAUCCUUCCUUCGGUUACAACAAUACGGUAAUUAUUCCACGGUCAACAAAGGACACCGAAAUGGUUUCCAAUUGUCAUUAAGUCACGGCUAAAGAUAUAACUUAAAUUGGACCGACAGUUAUAGUCAUUUAGAGUCAGGAAAACUAUAUAAUUAAUAAAUACAAAUAAAAAGAACCAUUCGUAUAUUUAUAAAGUAUAAACAUAGAUAUAUACAAAUCUUUUUGAUUUAAAACUCUCAAGAUAACACAAUAUC